rnacentral:rRNA from 1 species
AACGAACGCUGGCGGCAUGCCUAACACAUGCAAGUCGAACGAACCCUUCGGGGUUAGUGGCGCACGGGUGCGUAACGCGUGGGAAUCUGCCCUUUGCUUCGGAAUAACUCAGGGAAACUUGUGCUAAUACCGGAUGAUGUCUUCGGACCAAAGAUUUAUCGGCAAGGGAUGAGCCCGCGUAGGAUUAGGUAGUUGGUGGGGUAAAGGCCUACCAAGCCGACGAUCCUUAGCUGGUCUGAGAGGAUGAUCAGCCACACUGGGACUGAGACACGGCCCAGACUCCUACGGGAGGCAGCAGUGGGGAAUAUUGGACAAUGGGCGCAAGCCUGAUCCAGCAAUGCCGCGUGAGUGAUGAAGGCCCUCGGGUCGUAAAGCUCUUUUACCAGGGAUGAUAAUGACAGUACCUGGAGAAGAAGCUCCGGCUAACUCCGUG